CCAAAGGACCCAAGAACAGCGGUGGCGUCGAGAUGAAAGGAUACGUCCUAUUAACACUGAGGACUACUUAACCUUCAGGAGAUGGGGUGUUUACCAUAUGCUACUGAUGAGUCGGUUGAGUAGUCCGCGGAGUAUUCACUGCAUGCGGCCAAUGAGGUGUCGAAUGAUGGCACGGGUGGAUCCCUGCUUUUGUUCGUCCCGUUCGUUAUUGAAAUCGUGCCAAAUGGUGAUUAUGUUUGUUGCUCUCAAAACAUUCCUGGCCAAUCUUGAGUAGUUCCAUUUUCUGUAAGGAAAAGUGUGUUGCAAGGAGCUUUUCUAAGUCCUCUUUUUUGGAUAGCAGUGGUUCUGAUUGGAGUGUAAUCAUUUUCAAUGCCUAAAUCCCAUGAGGCGUUCAUUGAAAUGGAAUCAAACGGCAAUGGAUUGGUGGAAAACCCCAUAAUUUUCUAUAAAAUGACGAGUUGAAGUCGUUAUUAGUGGCAGUCCCUGAAGGUGUCUUGAAGGGCGUGGGUCCAAUAGACAUGAAAAUCCCGAGAAAGACACUGUCCAUGUACCUCAUCUUGGUCAUUUUGGGCAUGACUUUCCCAAAUCCCGGGGACAUGCUCAUAAAUAACAGAUAUAUCCGAAUUCAUCAAACCGGCCCUUAUCAUCCUAAAGGAUCUAAACAUGUCAUUGAAAAGUUUGCGCAGAAAAAGGCCGAUAGCCAAACCUCGACGUUCCAUAACAAUGACCACCCAUUCUAUCAACGACACUAUUUGACUCGGAAACGACGUACACUUUCCAUGGCCUCUUUUCUCGGCUUUCCAUUUGGUUCCAAGCUUUUCAGACAAUCAGCCAAACCCAAUUCCAGACCAGUUUGUUCUACCAUUCCCAGAAGAAUGAUCCCUUACCUAUUCAUGAUUCGAAAUCCAAUGUCAAGAUCUGCCGUUCUUCAUGUGUCAGAGUAAUGGUGCAGGUUCCAAGUAUUGAAGGUCUGCACACCCAAGAGAGUUAUGUUUUUUAGUCUGAGAAUAAAUCCCGGAUGACGUGGGUUCCAUUUA